GCCCGAUUAGUUCAGCUGGAUAGAAUGUGUGCCUACGGAGCAGAUGGUCGUAGGUUCGAAUCCUGCAUCGGGUA
rnacentral:tRNA from 1 species